rnacentral:rRNA from 1 species
GACGAACGCUGGCGGCGUGCCUAAUACAUGCAAGUUGAGCGCUGAAGGCUGGUACUUGUACCAACUGGAUGAGCAGCGAACGGGUGAGUAACGCGUGGGGAAUCUGCCUUUGAGCGGGGGACAACAUUUGGAAACGAAUGCUAAUACCGCAUAAAAACUUUAAACACAAGUUUUAAGUUUGAAAGAUGCAAUUGCAUCACUCAAAGAUGAUCCCGCGUUGUAUUAGCUAGUUGGUGAGGUAAAGGCUCACCAAGGCGAUGAUACAUAGCCGACCUGAGAGGGUGAGCGGCGACAUUGGGACUGAGACACGGCCCAAACUCCUACGGGAGGCAGCAGUAGGGAAUCUUCGGCGAUGGACGAAAGUCUGACCGAGCAACGCCGCGUGAGUGAAGAAGGUUUUCGGAUCGUAAGACUCUGUUGGUAGAGAAGAACGUUGGUGAGAGUGGAAAGCUCAUCAAGUGACGGUAACUACCCAGAAAGGGACGGCUAACUACGUG